rnacentral:ncRNA from 1 species
GAGGGAGGGCUCCACGGAGCCGCUGUACAGGCGGAGGCUUCAAACCACCUUAAGCUGCUACGGUCAAAAGCCGUGGUGGUGAGCGUUAAGGAAAAGGCAGAGCUAGACUUUGUCAGGU